GUGCUCACACAAAACGCAGCGCGUUUUGAACGUCCGUAAGGACGGCCCCGUAGGGGUGAGCUUCGCGAAUCAUCCUCACGUACUUCAGUACGCU
rfam:Salmonella enterica subsp. enterica serovar Newport str. S09097 S_Newport_S09097_mira454_rep_c2181, whole genome shotgun sequence.